rnacentral:tRNA from 1 species
GCGGCUGCGUGGCCGAGCGGUUUAAGUCUUAAACUGCCUGUACAACAGUCGCUCAGGCGUAGGUUCGAGCCCUGGCAGUCGCA